rnacentral:misc_RNA from 1 species
UCUCCGUUGGUGAACCAGCGGAGGGAUCAUUACGAAAAGAGUAUUCUGUACUCGCAACCCUUUGUGAACCUUACCUUUUGUCUGUUUCUUCGGCGGGUGGCCCCUGGGAGGGGCCCCGGGGCCCGGCCAGAGCCGGGUGCCCGCCGGAGGGACACAACCAAAACUCUUGUUGUACCUCAGUGGAACAUCCGAGUUAAAACAAAAAAACAAGUUAAAACUUUCAACAACGGAUCUCUUGGUUCUGGCAUCGAUGAAGAACGCAGC